GGGGUGCCGUGAGCACGAGGGACGAUGCCGGGCGGACAGGGCUUGGCCUCCGGACCGCCGGAGAUUGCCGCGGGGCACUCCAUGAGGGCGGGGGAUCAGCCAAGCCCACAUUUUUAAGGUCUUUCU
rnacentral:snoRNA from 1 species